rnacentral:tmRNA from 1 species
GGGGGUGCAAUGGUUUCGACUGGGAUAUUGAAACAUCGGAAGCGAGUAGUGACGGGUAUCACUUAAAAAUGCCCAAAUUUUAAAUAUAAACGCUAACAAUAAUUUAGCUUACGCUGCCUAAAAAGGCAACCGUCUUGUCUUUGAGGACCACGGCAAAGAAUAAGGCGACUACCAGUGGUGAAUAUGAACUGUCUUUUGUUUUGGGGGCAGUCACGACUUAAAAACUACCGUAGCAUAUAGCCUGACUGUGGGCAGUAUGUGAGGGGAAUCCAAAGCACAGUCUACACUCGUAGAUGCCGAUGCGGAUAUGUUUUAGGACGCGGGUUCGACCCCCGCCAUCUCCACCA